UGAAGAUGCAGUGAAACCUAAAUAAACUAAUUUCCAGAAAGAUGACAAGCCCUUCACAAGAGAGAAGAGUUCCACAGCUGUUUGCAUUUCAGGCCAAGGAGCAGAAGAGGAGGUACCUACCAUAAAAGCAGAGUCACCAGAAGUAUGCUGACCCACACCUCUGCAGUUUCUCAAGACAGCAGUCAUUCCUCACUUGUUCUUAACUGGAGAACUUAAGUUUUGGAAGUUUAUACUGACGUAUCUUCAAGCUCAUUGAUUCUUUCUUCACCAGUGUCCAGUCUAUUGAUGAAUCCAUCAAAGGCAUGUUUUAAUUUAUGUUACAGUCUUUUUGAUUACUAGCAUUUCCUUUGAUUCUUUCUUAGUUUUCUAUAUUUUUCCAUUGGAGCCCUUAACAUAUUAAUCGCAGCUAUUUUAAAUUCCUAGUUUGAUAAUUGCAACAUCUCUGCCAUAUUUGAAUCUGAUUAUAAUAUUUGUUUUGUCUUUUCAGCCUGUGUUUUUCUUGUCUUUUAUUAUGGCUUAUAUUGAAAGCCAUACACAAUAUAUUGAAAAAUAGGUCUAGAGUUAAAUAGGCUUUUAGUGUAAGGUUUUAUGUGAUUCUGACUAGGAGUCCAGCUGUGUUUAAUGUUUGUUGUGGCUAUAGUUGCCAGAGGCUCAAAUGCUAGUGUUCUUGAUUUUGUCUCAUUUGUUGCCUUUGGGUUUUCCUAUUAAUCCCUCCUUAAGUAAACAUUGAUCCUUGCAAUUCUUUCAGCUAUAAUCCACUGUUAUCACAUUAAGCCCUGUUCAUGUGGGGGGAAGCUGUGUGAGUGGGAAGUAUUCUGUAUUUCUGUGAUUAAGUCUCAGUCUUUAGUGGACCUAUGUCCCUGGGCUGCAAUCAUCAGAAUUGUUUCUUAGCUUCUGUUAUCCUUGCCUGCCCCCAGGUGAGACAAGAAGUCUGGAAGGAGUUAGAGAUGGGUAACUUCCUUUCCCCCAUAAUAAAUAAGGCUAUUGUAAAGCUACUUCUCUUAGAAUAUUGGUUUUCCUUAUGGUGAAUUCUUUGGGAAUAUCUCAGAAAGGUUAGUUUUCUCCUCCCUCUGACAGAAACACAAGGAAUUUUUUUCUUAUUUCUUCACUAUGAAAAGUGGGUGAGGUUUCCACAGGCACAACUCAUGAAAGUCUUAGGACCCUUUAAGACUGAAGCCCCAAGAGUUUCCCACUCUUAUACUAGUGUACAUUCUGCUUCUAGCAAUUUGACAAAAUAAUCACUUAAGUUUAUCUAACAGCAAUGGUUCCAGCGGCUUCUGUUUCUGAUAGACUGAUCUCGACUAUGAUUUUCUAUAUUCAUCUUCAGAUUUGGAGUGGUAGUUUGAUCUAAGAACGUCAAUCUUCUAAUGGGUCCAAAAAAAGGAAUUGACUUUCAGUUUGUUCAGCAUUUUUUCUUGUUGUAACAUGGAAGUAAUGACUUCCAAGCUCUCUACAUGCCAGAACUGAAACUAGGAAUCCUCAAAACUUAUUUAUGACAAAACUUUUGGAAAAAUAAAGACAGAACGAUUUCCUUAAUUUGAUAAUCAGCACUACAAAAAAAUCUACAAUUUACAUUACACUUAAUAGUGAAAGACUGCGUAUUACCUGAGAUAGAAAUACAAUAAGAAAUAUCUUCCCUCACCACCCUUAUACAACAUAAUUAUAGAAGCAACAGUCAGUGUAAUAACAUAAUAAAAGAAAAUUGAAAGCAUACAUAUCUGAAGGGAAGAAAUAAAACUGUCCCUAUAUGCAGAUUUCACGAUUGUCUACGUAGAUAAACCCAAAGAAUCUAUAAAGAAAAAUUCUUAAAACUAAUAAAUGAGUACAUCAAAGCCACAGGAUACAUGACAGACAUAAAAAAGUUGUAUUUCUAUGGAGUACCUGGGUGGUUCAGUCAGUUAAGUGUCCAAUUUUGGUUCAGGUCAUGAUCUCUCAGUUCACGAGUUUGAGCCUCACAUGGGGAUCUGUGCUAACAGCUCAGAGCCUCAAUCCUGCUACAGAUUCUAUGUCUUCCUCUCUCUCUGCCCCUCCUCCAUUUGCUCUGUUCUCUCUUUCUCUCAAAAAUAAAUAAACAUUUAAAAAAAAGAGUUGUAUUUCAAUAGACUAACAAUAGAGCACACAGAUACUAAAAUCAAAUGUGCAAUACCAUUUACAAUUGCUCAAAAAUAAAAACACCCGACUGUGAAUGUAGUAAACCAUAUACAAGACUUGUAUGCUGACAACAAUACAAUACUGAUGAAAAAAAAUCAAAGAUUUAAAUUAAUGGAGAGAUCUACCAUGUACAUGAAUUAGAAGACUCACUAUAGUAAAAAAUGUCAAGAGAACUAUCUAGAACAAAAGCAAAAGAACUUUCAAGACUCAAUAGUAAGUAAAACAAACAAACAUUCCAAAUAGAAAAUGGGAAAAUACAUGACCAGACUUCACCAAAGAAGAUAUACAGAUGGAAAAUGAACACAUUAAAAUAUGUUUAAUAUCAUUAGUCUUUGGGAAAAUGUAAGGUAAACCACAAUGAUAUAUCACUAGAUGUCUAUCAGAAUAUCUAAAAUAAAAAUAAAGACAACACCAAAUGCUGGCAAGGAUGCAGAAAAAUUGGAUCAUUCAUAUACUGCUAAUGGGAAGGUAAAAUGGUACAGACACUCUGGAAAACCACUUCACAGUUACUCAGAAAACUAAACAUGCAUGACCUUAAACCCAUAAAUUACAUUGCUGAGUUAUGUUCACAUAAAAACCUGUACACAAAUGUUUAUAGCAGCUUUAUUAACAUUUGUAAUAGCCCAAACCUGUAAACACAUGUUUUCAAAUAGUGAAUGAUUACACAAAAUGUAGUUCAUACAUACCAUUGAGUACUAAUCAGCAAUAAAAAAAAAGAAUGAAUUAUUGACAUAUGUACAACCUGGAUUAAUCUCUAGAUAAUUAUGCAGAGUGAAAAAGCCAAACCCAAAGGUACUUUUCCAUUUACAAAUCAUUUUUUCAGUGACAAAAUUAUAGAAAUGGAUACCAGGUCUGUGGUCACCAGGGGAAGGUAUGUGUGAUUAUAAAGGAGAACAAGAGGAAUCCUAGUGGUUAUUGAAAUGUUAUGUAUCUUCCCCAUAUCAAUGUCAAUAUCCUGAUUGUGAUAUUGUGCUAUAGAUUUUUGAAAUGUGAUCAGUGGAGAAAACUGCGUAAAGAUACCCAGGAUUUUUCUGUAGUAUUUCUUACAACUGUAUGUGAAUAUACAAUUAUCUCAAGAUAAAAGAUUUAAUUUAAAAAUUAAUUUAAAAAGAAUUCAGACUGCUGCAUGGAGAAAUGACUGCAGGAUGGGAGGGGGAGACAACAAGAAGGCAGUUCUAUCAGAAGGUAAGUAUAGUAAUUCAGGAAGGAGAUGAUGGCAACAUGACUAUGGGUCAUAACAGAAGAAAUGAAGAGUGCUACAUAGAUUCAAGAUAUAGUUUGUUGUUGAGCCAGCAGACCUGCUGUGUGUAUGGAUACGGAAGGUGACAAAAAAUAAGGAUUAAAGCAUGACCCAGAAUUGCAGAAUGAGAAUCAGUGAGAUGCU